rnacentral:snoRNA from 1 species
CUGGUAUACAAAGGCAGCAAACUGCAGCCUUCUGGGCAGUGUUUGAAGCCCAUUUCUUGUACAGUUUUCCCUAAGAGGCCUUGGAACCAGUC